rnacentral:lncRNA from 1 species
CGUCUUCUCAUUUCCUCACGUGUUUCUCACUUCUCAUCGUCUUCUCACUUCCUCGAGCGUUUUUCACUUUCUCACAUAUUUUUUACUUCUCAACACCUUCUUACUUUCUCACAUGUUUCUCACAUCCCAUCGUCGUCUUUAUUUACUCUUCUUUAUUUAAUAAUAAUAAUAAUAAUAAUUUCUUUCUUUCUUUUCUUCUUCUGUCAUUACUCUUCUCACUGUUUUUGACGUAAUAAUAAUUUAUUUAUUUCUUUACUCUUCACAAUUUUUUAUAAUUUUAUUUCUCAAUUUUCGUAAUAACUCUUCAUAUUUGUAUUUUGAUUUUUUAAUAACUCUUCGUAUCUAUAUUUCUAUCUAUUUUAAAAUAAUAAAAAUUUUCCUUUUUUAAAAUAAUAAUAAUUUAUAUAUUUUAUAAAUUAUUCAUAUAAUUAAAUAAAAAAAUAAUUAUU